rnacentral:misc_RNA from 1 species
GAUGAAGAACGUAGCGAAAUGCGAUAAGUAGUGUGAAUUGCAGAAUUCAGUGAAUCAUCGAAUCUUUGAACGCACAUUGCGGCCAUAGGUAUUCCUUUGGCCAUGCCUGUUCGAGCGUCAUUUACACCCUCAAGCCUAGCUUGGUGUUGGGCGCCUGUCCCGCCGUUUUCGCGCGCGGACUCGCCUCAAAGUCAUUGGCGGCGGUCGUGCCGGCCCCCUCGCGCAGCACAUUUGCGCUUCUCGGAGGCCCGGCGGAUCCGCGCUCCAGCAAGACCUUUCACGACUUGACCUCGGAUCAGGUAGGGAUACCCGCUGAACUUAAGCAUAUCAAUAGCGGAGGA